AGAGUUUGAUCCUGGCUCAGGACGAACGCUGGCGGCGUGCUUAACACAUGCAAGUCGAACGGAAAGGCCCUUCGGGGUACUCGAGUGGCGAACGGGUGAGUAACACGUGGGUGAUCUGCCCUGCACUCUGGGAUAAGCCUGGGAAACUGGGUCUAAUACCGGAUAGGACCGCAUGCUUCAUGGUGUGUGGUGCAAAGCUUUUGCGGUGUGGGAUGAGCCCGCGGCCUAUCAGCUUGUUGGUGGGGUAAUGGCCUACCAAGGCGACGACGGGUAGCCGGCCUGAGAGGGUGACCGGCCACACUGGGACUGAGAUACGUCCCAGACUCCUACGGGAGGCAGCAGUGGGGAAUAUUGCACAAUGGGCGCAAGCCUGAUGCAGCGACGCCGCGUGAGGGAUGACGGCCUUCGGGUUGUAAACCUCUUUCAGUAGGGACGAAGCGAAAGUGACGGUACCUACAGAAGAAGGACCGGCCAACUACGUGCCAGCAGCCGCGGUAAUACGUAGGGUCCGAGCGUUGUCCGGAAUUACUGGGCGUAAAGAGCUCGUAGGUGGUUUGUCGCGUUGUUCGUGAAAACUCACAGCUUAACUGUGGGCGUGCGGGCGAUACGGGCAGACUAGAGUACUGCAGGGGAGACUGGAAUUCCUGGUGUAGCGGUGGAAUGCGCAGGUAUCAGGAGGAACACCGGUGGCGAAGGCGGGUCUCUGGGCAGUAACUGACGCUGAGGAGCGAAAGCGUGGGUAGCGAACAGGAUUAGAUACCCUGGUAGUCCAA
rnacentral:rRNA from 1 species